GAUGAACGCUAGCGAUAGGCUUAACACAUGCAAGUCGAGGGGCAGCAUGGUCUUAGCUUGCUAAGACUGAUGGCGACCGGCGCACGGGUGCGUAACGCGUAUGCAACUUGCCUCACAGAGGGGGAUAACCCGUCGAAAGACGGACUAAUACCGCGUACACUUGGAGGGAGGCAUCUCCCAUCAAGGAAAAGAAAUUCGCUGUGAGAUAGGCAUGCGUCCCAUUAGCUAGUUGGUGAGGUAACGGCUCACCAAGGCAACGAUGGGUAGGGGAACUGAGAGGUUGAACCCCCACACUGGUACUGAGACACGGACCAGACUCCUACGGGAGGAAGCAGUGAGGAAUAUUGGUCAAUGGGCGAGAGCCUGAACCAGCCAAGUCGCGUGAAGGAUGACUGUCUUAUGGAUUGUAAACUUCUUUUGUAGAGGAAUAAAGAACGGUACGUGUACCGUAGUGAAUGUACCCUACGAAUAAGCAUCGGCUAACUCCGUGCCAGCCGCCGCGGUAA
rnacentral:rRNA from 1 species